GGGGGGGGGGGGGGGGGGGGGGGGGGGGGGGGGGGGGGGGGGGGGGGGGGGGGGGGGGGGGGGGGGGGUGCCGACCUGCCCCCGCCGCUGCCCCCCAAGGCUCCCCACCCGCUGCCGCAGCUGCACAAGCCAAGCAACAUCCAGUCCCUGCCGCUGCCGCCCACCCCCGGGCCGCCCCAGCCCGCAGCCGUGCUGGACACCAGGAAGAAGAGACCCGGCCGAGGCGCAGGAACUGGUGCUGGGAAGCUGGUCACGCCUCCACAGCCACCAGCAAGAUCCCCAACAACUGAACUUACAAGCAAGUCUGGAGUCUCGGCCUGGGCUACAGCUCAUGACCCCUACACACCACUUAAAAAUGGAAAUAUGCACAUCAUUGGUAAUAUAAUUAAAUUAAGUCUCUUGGCCUUGUUAAUAAUGUUAGUACAAAAGCCCGUGUGUGUUCCAGACCUCAAAAACUCACUCAGGACUUUGUCCUAGCAAUAACGCUCACUCAGGACUUUGCCCUAGCAAUAACAGUGUAGUAUAAUAGAAAUAUUUUUGUAUAACCUUAUACAGUGAUGGAAAAACUCACUCAGGACUUUGUCCUAGCAAUAACAGUGUAGUAUAAUAGAAAGAUUUUUGUAUAACCUUAUACAGUGAUGGAAAAUUAAGGCUUUUUCACAAAGGAUUUAAAUUCAGUCAGUAGAAAAGCAAAGGAUGCACUACCUGCACAGUUACUUAAAAAUAUGAGAAGUUUCCAUAGUGUGCUUAUAUUACCAUUCUUAAAAUUAGAUCAUGGACAUUUAGAGGCUCCUAUAGGGCAAAGACCACUGGGAAUUAUUUUUGUGGUCUGGUGAAUUGGCCAUUCAUUCUUGUUUACAGCUACAUGUCUUGAAAAUGACCAAAGAAUACCUCUAUUACCACAAUACCACCAAUGCAGAAAACUGAAAUGGCAGACAGAAGCUUAAUUUCAGUUUUAAAAGCAGGCAGUGAUUGCAAUUAAGGCAAAAAACUUGAAUGGCUCACAGAAGUGCUCAUCAAGAUGAUUUAUAUGGAAUGAGCCACUAUCAAUUCCAGGGGAAAAUAAGCCAGCAUUUUUAAUUGAAAUUAUUUGCAGCAACAUUGUUGGGUUUUUGGUUUUGUUUUUUUUUAAGUUUCUCUCUAGCAGCAACUAAUAUUUAUUUCCCUGAAACUUCUCAGAUGACUUCGAAUCAAAAUUUACUUUCCAUUCUGUGGAAGAUUUCCCUCCACCUGAUGAAUUCAAACCAUUUCAGAAAACAUAUCCCAGCAAGAUACCCAGAGGUAAGCAUGGAAACAUGAAAAGAUCUGAUCAUUAUCAAGAGGUUUAGGAAUGGGGAUGAAAAAUAAAGAACUGAACCAGCAUUAGCAUAACUGGACUGCUAGCAUAGGCACAGAGAGGGAUGGGAUUUGUCACAGUGGCAGCAGGGAUCAAAGAUAUAAUGAAAAGCCCUUAGUUACUUUAGAGUCUUAGCUAACAACAAAUUAUGUGGCUGGACAUGCAGCCUGUGUUUUUAGAUUGCUAAAUUUGCAGAGCCCGUGAUGUUAAAAACAAUCAUGUUGCAAAAGAGACUUGGGCAGCUACUGAGUUUGAUGGCUUUUGUUCACUAACUUGUGAAAUCACAGAGAAAGAUUAUUUGAUCCAUGUAUUUUGAUUUAAAUCCUGUGCAUGGUGUUUCACACACCUGAAUUAACAAAGAGACUUAGUAUCUGAACUGUGUCAGGAAAGUGAUAAAUGGUUGAACCUUGCUUUAUUUUUUUUCUCCCUUCUUAACUUAGAAAUUUAGAAUGAGGUCACUCUUGUAAGAGCAGUUCACCUAUCCAGUUUUGAAAAUUAUAGUUGAAAGUGGAAAAAAAUCUCAUGCCCAUAUUCUUCAUUUCUAUAAAACCAAAUAUUCUGUGUUAUUAUAUCUCCAACUUUAAUUAACCUUUUGUUCUGUUUCCAUGCUAAGGUACUUUGCAUGACUUUUCAUAGCAGCCUCAGUCAGGCUAAAUUGUCUGCUGUGUGUUCUGACUUUUUACUGAAGGGCUGCAGAGCACAAGCAAUAUGUGUGUGUAUGUAUGUAAACAUGUAUAUAUAUGCAUAUGUAUGUAUAUACCAGAGUAGCAGAUAAAUGCAGCAUCCCUGCUAUACAAUUGCAUCCAAAAUACCUAUUUAAAAUCUGUCCUAUCUAUUUACAGAUCCCUCUAAAAAUCCUCCAUUAAGAACACACGUGAGAUGAGAAGAGUCUUCUGAUGCUCUCUGGACUAGUAUUAAAAAAGAAGAUCAAGAUAAUAUAUAAAACAGAAGGGGUUCCUGUUGCAGUGAUUGAUUGUACUUGAGUCACAAGAACUGCAAUAUUAACAUUUCUAUAAACUGUAAAACAAUAUAAAUGAUACCUUUUGAACUGGCCUACAUACUACAGGAAUGUUAGUACAGGCUUUUAAAUUACUGUAUAUAGGUGAAUGUUUUUUAAGCAAAGCAGGAUAAAAUUUAAAUUCUUUGUAGUGUUGAAACAAUUCUAAUUCUUAUUGUGCUGGCAAUGUUACCUCAGAAUGUUUUGUGCUAUGUGCCCAUAGUUCUUUUUUCCCCUUCCAUCAUAUUUUUUUGGAAAUUCUCCAGUUAUUAUUGAGGCAUUUUUUCAAUGAACUGUCAAACUAAUAUAUUAUCUGAGUCUGUUUUUAUGUUUCUUCACUUCUUUCAUUCUGCUUGGCCACAGAUUGCGGCAGAACAUCAUGAAGAGAUGGGCCCACAAUCCUUUUCUCAUGAAGCAUGAAGAGGAGAUGCCAAGGAGCUGUGGCUGCUAAUGAGCCUACCUCCUAAUGAUUACAUAUCCUUAUAGGAUAGUGUCUGAAGCAGCCCAGCUGGGUAGGGUGGUCAUGGACUUGACAAAGAUGACAGAACCUUUCCAAAGCAGAGGAAAAGGAAGUUGCUCUAUUGUAAGCAAGAAAAAGAAACGGUGUGUGUGAAUGCAGUGCUGUGAUGAGUUUGUGUAAGGACACAUGGCCUGUCUUUUCCUGCUGGCAAAGUGGAUAUUUACCAUUUCUGUGGUAGAUUGCCUUUAUCCAGCAAUUACAAGGCCUUUGGAUGAGGGGUCUACAUUUUAAACAGGUGACUAGAGCUAUUACUAUUCACCAGCAGUGAAGGGUUGUUGUCCAAAACACACCACGUGGAACACUCAGCCCCCAAAGUUGUUGCUGUCUCAAAUGGAGUUGAGAAUAAAGUAGAAAAUAACAACUUAGCAGCGGACAAGACUUGAACUACUGCUUUUAAUAUUCAGACCUUGGGUAAGGUCUUCAGAUCACAGAUGUUCAGAUCUGCUCCUAAGAUAUCUAUUUCUAACAAGAAUUACCCUUAUUCUUGUGUAUUGGGAGGAGUGGUGCCAGGUCAGGGAGGUGAUUCUUCCCCUCUGGGCAGCACUAGUGAUGCCUCACCUGAUAUGCAGCCCCGUGUGCUGUGUUUGAAUUCUGGGCUCCCCAGUGCAAGGAACACAUGACUGUGCUGAUGUGCUGUGUCCGAAUUCUGGG
rnacentral:lncRNA from 1 species